AAUGAAUUGCCUGAUUAAAGGAUUACUUUGAUAGAGUAAAUUAUGUAAUUAUAUUACAUUCAUUA
rnacentral:tRNA from 3 species